GGUGAGUAACGCGUGGGUAACCUGCCCUGUACACACGGAUAACAUACCGAAAGGUAUGCUAAUACGAGAUAAAAUGUAAUGAUCGCAUGGUCGAUACAUCAAAGCUCCGGCGGUACAGGAUGGACCCGCGUCUGAUUAGCUAGUUGGUGAGGUAAUGGCUCACCAAGGCGACGAUCAGUAGCCGACCUGAGAGGGUGAUCGGCCACAUUGGAACUGAGACACGGUCCAAACUCCUACGGGAGGCAGCAGUGGGGAAUAUUGCACAAUGGGCGAAAGCCUGAUGCAGCAACGCCGCGUGAGCGAUGAAGGCCUUCGGGUCGUAAAGCUCUGUCCUCAAGGAAGAUAAUGACGGUACUUGAGGAGGAAGCCCCGGCUAACUACGUGCCAGCAGCCGCGGUAAUACGUAGGGGGCUAGCGUUAUCCGGAUUUACUGGGCGUAAAGGGUGCGUAGGCGGUCUUUCAAGUCAGGAGUGAAAGGCUACGGCUCAACCGUAGUAAGCUCUUGAAACUGUAAGACUUGAGUGCAGGAGAGGAGAGUGGAAUUCCUAGUGUAGCGGUGAAAUGCGUAGAUAUUAGGAGGAACACCAGUUGCGAAGGCGGCUCUCUGGACUGUAACUGACGCUGANGCACGAAAGCGUGGGGAGCAAACAGGAUUANAUACCCUGGUANUCCACGCC
rnacentral:rRNA from 1 species